UUUCAUUUGCUGAAAAUGAAUACAUAUUUGCAAGAAGAUACAUUGCUUUACAAAACUGAUUUCAUGCACAUGCAAUAUAACUUUUUAUGCACUCAAAAUAUUAUCUUGCACAUACAGAAUUUUUAUAUGUGCUCAAAAUCUAAUUUUCCACACUCAACAUAUCACCUUGCACAUGCAGAAUUGUGGCACAAAUAUAACUCCAUAUAACUUCAUACAGAUCCACAAAAAGUAAAUUCAGUAAAGUUAAUAUGUGUUCUUAAAAUUACUCAUUUAAUCAUGGUUGUGGUAAUGAUUUUUAACAUGUGUGUCAAACUCUGCUUAUUUUUUUUUUUUUAAAGUUUCAUCUAUGCAGCUGCUGCAACACCUCCUUUGAACACAUCAGCUCUUGUGUUCACACCUCUGAAAACACACACACACACUGACAACAGCACACACAUCUGCAGAUAAUUCUAGCUUAUAUGAACUAGUCUCACCAACAGUCCAAUCGGGUUCCACACCCCUGGUGAAAAGCUCUGGUAACUGGUAAAUUUGUUUGUUUAUUUAUUUGGCUGUUGGAAUUAUUACACUUGUUUUGUACAUGCAAGGAAAUAGGACAUUUAUUUGUUUUUAUGAUUGUACUUUCACUAGUUUAUUUACUGAUGACAUUCAUGUUGCAGCAAAAUUAAAAUCCAGUAAUUAUUAUGUCAGCUUUUCUUUUUUUUUUUCAUUCCAGUAUACAUGACUAUGGUUAGUGCAGUUAAUUUGGUAUUGCUGGUGUUCUUGAUUCUUGUGACUAGUGUCUCUCUACAGAAGUAGAUCAGAUUAAAAGUCAAGAAGUUGCUGCUUUGAAACCUCAAACCACUGAAAAUCCACUUCCCAAUCCACCAGACCUCAACCAAACUUUGGAAGACUGUCAUCUCUAUGAAGAAACGAUAGUAGUGUAUAGUCUGGAUGAUCCACCUAAAGGAGACUAUUCUUCUUUCAUCUAUUCCACUGUGCAUUACUGUGAUAACUCAGCACUGAGGGUAAACUGUGGUGAACUCGCGAGGCUAAACUAAUGUGAAAUUAUAUAUUUACGUACACAUCACGUCUCAUAUGCAGUUCCAUGUUUGGUUCAAAUCAUUAUCUCUUGGCUCAGUCUUGCCUUCAGUGUUUUUAUCUGUAUAUUAUGAACGAUAAUUACUGUAAUUGUUGCAUGCAGUGUAACCUAGCCAUCCUUUAGCCAACUUUGUAUGUUAGUUCAUCAUUUCCUUUGUGAAAAAGCGGUUGCUCUGCUGCCCAUUAAGUUUUGACACUGUUGCAGAGCAUUUGUGGUGUGUGUGGUCAAAGUGUGGAAUGUUGCUACUGUUCAUUUCCUCCAGUUGCUCACCUAAUAUAAUUAUCUAUGUUUGAAUGUCUGUAAAUUAGGUAGUCUGAUCAGUAAGCUCUGACCCUUCUACUGAUUUUGGUAAGUCAAAUCACCAAAUUCACAGUUUGAUGGGUUAAUGGUCAAAGUCCUCCUGUAUCUGUUACCUUUGUGAUCAGAGGAAGGAACCUUGAUGCCCAAAGUGUGCAGUAUUAAUAUGAUGCUUUCUUUUAUAUUAACCCUUGUGUGACCUUUGGGACAUUUUUUUUCUUUUUCAUUUUUGUUUCUUCGAUCAUUUUGGAUGCGUUAUGCCAACGGCAUACAUUUUGCCAAAGGUGUGUAUUUUUGGGGGAAUUUUGAUAUUUCAACCUCAGUUCCUAUAAUACACAUAUAAUACACUGUGCACACAAAACAGUUACACUCAGGACCUUAAGGACAUAAAUGUCCCCACUGAAACACAUUCAAACUGCAAUAUUUGAUCCCAGUGCCAUUAAAGCAUAAAAUCAUGAAUUCUAUAUUAUACUUUCAUUCUGGAGCCCUGGCUUCAAAAUGUAAAUUUGUAAUAUUUUUCACCAGAUGGCACCAUUUGUUUAGCCUAUGGAGCAAAUACAUACUUUUUUCCUAUUUUCUGUUUGCUGUAUUAUAGAGCACUGCAGGCCAACUGAAUAAAUUAUGCAGCUAAAAUUGUGUGGGUGUGUUGGUAUGAAUGUCAAAGUGUGUUUUGUAUGUGUGUAUUGAGAAAUGUGUGUGUGUAAAAAAACAACAGUGGCAUUAUGUAAACAAACUGGCAUUUAAAGUGUUAAAACCUUGAAAAUGAAUGAAUAUUUGGUAGUUAUGAUCAGGACUGAUGUUGGUAAAAAAAAUUAACUCAUUGAA